GUGGGGUACGGAGACAUGCAUCCGGUGACCAUCGGGGGGAAAAUAGUGGGGUCUUUGUGCGCAAUAGCGGGCGUGCUGACCAUUGCCUUACCCGUGCCAGUGAUUGUGUCCAAC